GAUGAACGCUGGCGGCGUGCCUAAUACAUGCAAGUCGAGCGAACGGACGAGAAGCUUGCUUCUCUGAUGUUAGCGGCGGACGGGUGAGUAACACGUGGAUAACCUACCUAUAAGACUGGGAUAACUUCGGGAAACCGGAGCUAAUACCGGAUAAUAUUUUCAACCGCAUGGUUCAAAAGUGAAAGACGGUCUUGCUGUCACUUAUAGAUGGAUCCGCGCUGCAUUAGCUAGUUGGUAAGGUAACGGCAUACCAAGGCAACGAUGCAUAGCCGACCUGAGAGGGUGAUCCGCCACACUGGAACUGAGACACGGUCCAGACUCCUACGGGAGGCAGCAGUAGGGACUCUUCCGCAAUGGGCGAAAGCCUGACGGAGCAACGCCGCGUGAGUGAUGAAGGUCUUCUGAUCGUAAAACUCUGUUAUUAGGGAAGAACAUAUGUGUAAGUAACUGUGCACAUCUUGACGGUACCUAAUCAGAAAGCCACGGCUAACUACGUG
rnacentral:rRNA from 1 species